rnacentral:rRNA from 1 species
UUCCGGUUGAUCCUGCCGGACCCCACUGCUAUCGGGGUGGGACUAAGACAUGCAAGUCGUACGCCUUCCAGCUGCCGGGGAAGGCGUGGCGUACGGCUCCGUAACACGUGGCUAACCUACCCUUGGGACGGGGAUAACCCCGGGAAACUGGGGCUAAUCCCCGAUAGGUGAGGAUGCCUGGAAUGGUUCCUCACCGAAAGGGUACCGGAACCGUGCUUCCGGUACCGCCCAAGGAUGGGGCCGCGGCCGAUCAGGUUGUUGGUGGGGUAACGGCCCACCAAGCCGAUAACCGGUACGGGCCGUGAGAGCGGGAGCCCGGAGAUGGGCACUGAGACAAGGGCCCAGGCCCUACGGGGCGCAGCAGUCGCGAAAACUCCGCAAUGCGCGAAAGCGCGACGGGGCCACCCCGAGUGCCGCCCGCUGAGGGUGGCUUUUGCCCGGUGUAGACAGCCGGGAGAAUAAGGGGAGGGCAAGCCUGGUGUCAGCCGCCGCGGUAAUACCAGCUCCCCGAGUGGUGGGGACGGUUAUUGGGCCUAAAGCGUCCGUAGCCGGCCCGACAAGUCUCCCGUUAAAUCCAGCGAUCUAAUCGCUGGACUGCGGGAGAUACUGUCGGGCUAGGGGGCGGGAGAGGCCGGCGGUAUUCCCGGGGUAGGGGUGAAAUCCUAUAAUCCCGGGAGGACCACCAGUGGCGAAGGCUGCCGGCUAGAACGCGCCCGACGGUGAGGGACGAAAGCCGGGGGAGCGAACCGGAUUAGAUACCCGGGUAGUCCCGGCUGUAAACGAUGCGGGCUAGGUGUUGGAACGGCUACGAGCCGUUCCAGUGCCGCAGGGAAGCCGUUAAGCCCGCCGCCUGGGGAGUACGGCCGCAAGGCUGAAACUUAAAGGAAUUGGCGGGGGAGCACCACAAGGGGUGAAGCUUGCGGUUUAAUUGGAUUCAACGCCGG